CACCUACUCCCUCCGUUCCAUGAUUCUUGUCGAAAUAUUACAUGUAUCUAGACGCUUUUUAGGAAUAGAUACAUCCAUUUUUGGGCAAAUUCGAGACAAGAAAUAUGGAACGGAGGGAAUAGAAU
rnacentral:pre_miRNA from 1 species